AUUGAACGCUGGCGGCAGGCCUAACACAUGCAAGUCGAGCGGAUGAGAGAAGCUUGCUUCUCGAUUCAGCGGCGGACGGGUGAGUAAUGCCUAGGAAUCUGCCUGGUAGUGGGGGACAACGUUUCGAAAGGAACGCUAAUACCGCAUACGUCCUACGGGAGAAAGCAGGGGACCUUCGGGCCUUGCGCUAUCAGAUGAGCCUAGGUCGGAUUAGCUAGUUGGUGAGGUAAUGGCUCACCAAGGCGACGAUCCGUAACUGGUCUGAGAGGAUGAUCAGUCACACUGGAACUGAGACACGGUCCAGACUCCUACGGGAGGCAGCAGUGGGGAAUAUUGGACAAUGGGCGAAAGCCUGGUCCAGCCAUGCCGCGUGUGUGAAGAAGGUCUUCGGAUUGUAAAGCACUUUAAGUUGGGAGGAAGGGUUGUAGAUUAAUACUCUGCAAUUUUGACGUUACCGACAGAAUAAGCACCGGCUAACUCUGUGCCAGCCGCCGCCGUAAAAC
rnacentral:rRNA from 1 species